AUAAUUGGAUGUAUGAAUGGUCCACAAUGAUAUGGGAAGCUGAUAACACAAACCAAUCCCAAAUUCUGCUACGGUGAACAAGAUGAAGAAGCCAGAUGGUUCCAGAAUCAAAUAUGACAUUGAUUAAGCUCACUGAAUACUGCUCAGUAUACACUUCAAAAACAGCUUGUACUCGCCAGGGAAAGGAAUGGCUGCCAAGGUUUGAGCCUGACGCAGGCCGCAUUUACACUGCAGGUCUUGAUGCCCAGUUCCGAUUUGUGGAUUAUAUCCAACCGGCUUUUAAAAGUGACCCAUAUCCGAUAUCUGCAUUUAUACUACACAAUUGGCGAAACAACCAAGGUAGACAUACUGAACCGGAAAAGCCAAGGCCGAAAAGGAAGUAAAAACAGCGUGAUUUGGUCGGCAAAACAUAUCAAUGAGAACUGAAUCUGAGAACAUCGGAAUCCAGUUGUUUUCUGCUUACAGAAAAUACAGAAUUAUAAAAUGUCAAGUCCAUUUACCUAUAUGUUUUAUAUACAUCACAUGAGUUUGAUGAAUAUGAUGAACACAAAAAAAGAUAAUUUAAAGAGUGGUAAUCAAAGAGUUGGCGUAGCCAU